CAGCAAUGAGAACCAAAAUCUGAAAAUACCAAGUCUCAAGGCACAACAUCACAGCAGAGGCAGAAGAUAGUUUGAAAAAAUCCCACAGCCCAGAAAACGCCAUCCAAUCGAAUCCAGUCCAUGUAAGUUUGCAUUUAUCACUAAAUAAAAUAUAUAUAAAUUGUCCUGCCACUAUGAUCCACCAAGAAAAACUCAACACCAAUCCUGCACCCAACAAUCCCCAACCCAACACGAACAAAGCCAGCCAUGUCAAGAAAACAUGCAGUACCAGUGCUGCUGCAGAUAUAUAAGCACUGGGAUUCACUAUACUUUGUGCCUGCAGGAACUUUUGUAUGGGAAAAUUUGCAGCGUACGCGAAAAUCUGAGGUAUAAGGCCAUAGAUGAACAAAGCUGCUGCAGAUGCAAGGCUUUUUGAUUCACCUA
rnacentral:lncRNA from 1 species